rnacentral:lncRNA from 1 species
AAAAUAAGCUUCCACAAAGGAAUAAGACCCUGUGUCUAAGGAAAUGGAUUCCUGGUUAACAUUUUCACACAGAACAUAUGAUUUUCUGGAACAGAUUAUUAACAUUACAAGGGAGUUGCCUGGUAGUCAGAGAUCCCUGCGAUGGUGGAGCUGAUAUUCUAGAGCAACGUGGAGCUUUGCUGGAGAAAUACAAGAGAUGAGGAGCAUAGAUGGUGAUGGCAUCGAAGAAGCAAGGACGUUGGGAAGAAAAUCAUACAGAAAUAAUGAUGGUGGGAAAUAACAAGCUACAUAAAUCAUAUACAGAUUGCUGUCAAGUUGAAAUGUUGCUAAAAACUAUGUACCUCCUAACCAGAUAGUCUUUUUUAAAAAAUACCAGAAGGGUGCUGUCAUAAAAUUUAAUUUGAUCCUGAAAUGCUUAACAAAGACCAAGACAUGA